CUUAUUUUUUAUUCAAGGCCGCGCGGCCCGUUUUUUUCACAAAUAUCUCUUCUUUAUUAUCUAGAAGCUACCGCAUGGGUGAAGAGGCCUAAAAAUAUUGAAGGAGAGACCCCCGGGCGGCGCUUAGAGUAAAGCAGGAAUAUUAUUUUUAAAAAAAAUCAAUGACUACUUAACUCUUUAGUUGGGGCGACUAAGGAACAAAUAAAGCUUCUUUUAGUUUUUUAGAUCAAUAAAUUUAGAUCCAGCAAAGCUGAUUAAAAGAAUUAGUUACCGCAGGGAUAACAGCAUAAUCUCUCUUGAGAGACCUAAUCGAAAGAGGGGGUUGUGACCUCGAUGUUGGACUAAAAUAUCCUGAAGAUGCAGACGUCUUCGAAGGUUGGUCUGUUCGACCAUUAAAAUUUUACGUGAUCUGAGUUCAGACCGGACGC
rnacentral:rRNA from 1 species